CACAUAUGAGUAAGAUCAUGUGAUAUUUAUCUUUGACUGGCUUAUUUCGCUUAGCAUAAUACUCUCCAGGUCCAUCCAUGCUGUUGCAAAUGAAGCUACAGGAAACACACAGUGACUGGGCUUCUCCCCCCUCCCGAUCCCCUGCCCCAGCCCUGCACAGGGUUCACAGAAUCUGUACGGAUUGGAAGAACAAAGAAAGAAAAAGAAAAGAAAACCAAACUAAACUCAGGUUCUUCUGACUAUUGAUUGCAGCUCCAUCUCCCCUUCCUUCGCAAGAAGUUUAGUUAUUGCACUUCUUCUUUGUACAGAUACAAACUGAAAAUCUGAACCUAAAACAUUUUUAGGGACAUAUUGACAAGAACUGGAUUUAGUAUUAAGAGACAUUAUUAGUUUGGGACAAUAUUUUAUUUGAAAAAGUACACACGUUGUGUGGGACUUCUGUAAGAAUUUAUUUUAUAUAUUUGAAAGUAAAUAAAGCAAACAUAA